rnacentral:rRNA from 1 species
AGGAUGAAGGUUUAAGGAUUGUAAACUCCUUUUGUUAGAGAAGAUAAUGACGGUAUCUAACGAAUAAGCACCGGCUAACUCCGUGCCAGCAGCCGCGGUAAUACGGAGGGUGCAAGCGUUACUCGGAAUCACUGGGCGUAAAGAGCGCGUAGGCGGGAUAGUCAGUCAGGUGUGAAAUCCUAUGGCUUAACCAUAGAACUGCAUUUGAAACUACUAUUCUAGAGUGUGGGAGAGGUAGGUGGAAUUCUUGGUGUAGGGGUAAAAUCCGUAGAGAUCAAGAGGAAUACUCAUUGCGAAGGCGACCUGCUGGAACAUUACUGACG